rnacentral:rRNA from 1 species
UACGAAGGGGGCUAGCGUUGUUCGGAUUAACUGGGCGUAAAGGGUGCGUAGGCGGGCUUUUAAGUCAGGGGUGAAAUCCCAAGGCUCAACCUUGGAACUGCCUUUGAUACUGGGAGUCUUGAGUCCGGGAGAGGUGAGUGGAACUGCGAGUGUAGAGGUGAAAUUCGUAGAUAUUCGCAAGAACACCAGUGGCGAAGGCGGCUCACUGGCCCGGAACUGACGCUGAGGCACGAAAGCGUGGGGAGCAAACAGG